rnacentral:piRNA from 1 species
CAUCAACAAGGGCUUCGACUUCCUGCCG